rnacentral:SRP_RNA from 1 species
GCCAUUGUGAUUUGAAUCUCUGUAAUCCCAGCUACUGAGGAGGUUGAGGCUGGUUAGAUCUCUUGAGUUCAGGAAUUCUGAGCUGCAGUCAGCUACGCUGAUCAAGGGUACACAUUAAGUUCAGUAUUAAUAUGGUGAGCCCCUCAGAGAGGGGGAAGGGGCACCAGGUUGCCCAAGGAGCGACAAAAACAGAAUAGGUCAGGUCUCCGGUGCCGAUCAGUAAUGGGAUCAGGCCCAUGAGUACUAACUCCAUUUCUAGUCUGGUAGAGAUGGAGAGAACCAGUCUUU